rnacentral:rRNA from 1 species
UACGGAGGGGGCUAGCGUUGUUCGGAAUUACUGGGCGUAAAGCGCAUGUAGGUGGCUUUGUAAGUUAGAGGUGAAAGCCCAGGGCUUAACCCUGGAAUUGCCUUUAAGACUGCAUCGCUAGAAUCGUGGAGAGGUGAGUGGAAUUCCGAGUGUAGAGGUGAAAUUCGUAGAUAUUCGGAGGAACACCAGUGGCGAAGGCGACUCACUGGACACGUAUUGACGCUGAGGUGCGAAAGCGUGGGGAGCAAACAGG